UACAGAGGGUGCAAGCGUUGUUCGGAAUUAUUGGGCGUAAAGCGCGUGUAGGCGGCAUGGCAAGUCGGGUGUGAAAGCCCUCAGCUUAACUGAGGAAGUGCGCCCGAAACUGCUGUGCUUGAGUACCGGAGAGGAUGGCGGAAUGCCCCAAGUAGAGGUGAAAUUCGUAGAUAUGGGGCGGAACACCGGUGGCGAAGGCGGCCAUCUGGACGGAUACUGACGCUGAGACGCGAAAGCGUGGGUAGCAAAC
rnacentral:rRNA from 1 species